CUACGGGUCGCUGCAGUGGGGAAUAUUGCACAAUGGGCGCAAGCCUGAUGCAGCAACGCCGCGUGAACGAAGAAGGUCUUCGGAUCGUAAAGUUCUUUUCUUAGGGAAGAAAAAUGACGGUACCUAAGGAAUAAGCACCGGCUAGAAUACGUGCCAGCGAGCCGCGGUAAUACGUAUGGUGCAAGCGUUAUCCGGAAUCACUGGGGGUAAAGGGAGCGUAGGCGGUUUUGCAAGUCAGAAGUGAAAGGCUACGGCUCAACCGUGGUAAGCUUUUGAAACUGCAAGACUAGAGUGCAGGAGAGGCAAGUGGAAUUCCUAGUGUAGAGGUGAAAUUCGUAGAUAUUAGGAGGAACACCAGUGGCGAAGGCGACUUGCUGGACUGUAACUGACGCUGAGGCUCGAAAGCGCGGGGAGCGAACAGGAUUAGAUACCCCGGUAGUC
rnacentral:rRNA from 1 species